rnacentral:rRNA from 1 species
GACCCAGACUCCUACGGGAGGCAGCAGUGGGGAAUAUUGGACAGUGGGGGGAACCCUGAUCCAGCGACGCCGCGUGAGUGAAGAAGUAUUUCGGUAUGUAAAGCCCUAUCAGCAGGGAAGAAAGAAAUGACGGUACCUGACUAAGAAGCCCCGGCUAACUACGUGCCAGCAGCCGCGGUAAUACGUAGGGGGCAAGCGUUAUCCGGAUUUACUGGGUGUAAAGGGAGCGUAGGCGGCGAUGCAAGUCUGAAGUGAAAGGCGGGGGCCCAACCCCCGGACUGCUUUGGAAACUGUAUGGCUGGAGUGCAGGAGAGGUAAGUGGAAUUCCUAGUGUAGCGGUGAAAUGCGUAGAUAUUAGGAGGAACACCAGUGGCGAAGGCGGCUUACUGGACUGUAACUGACGUUGAGGCUCGAAAGCGUGGGGAGCAAGCAGGAUUAGAUACCCGCGUA